rnacentral:lncRNA from 1 species
CAGUAAUCAUCAGAGUGGAACUAAUCUGAACCAAGUGAAGUAGUUCAUUGUAUCAUAUUGGAUCUAUAAAAUACUGACUACAGAGACUGCUAUAAUCUAGCAUUUUCAGCAAAAAUUUUUUGUACCAAAGGAUUCUUUGGAUAAUCUUAUCUGUUAACUUUUAAUUUUAAAAUGUUGUGGUUAGCAGCAUCAAAGGGAAUUGAAUUUGGAUGUGAAAUCCUCGAGGCAGAGUACUCUCUUGUCGCUGAUAAAAUUGGACAGUUGCAAGACAAGGCUAGCUUUCUCUCUUAUUCUCUCUCUUUUUGCCCUCUCCAGAUGUUCACAUUCAGUUAUAUAAAUUGCAAUGAUAUGGCAAGUUACAUAAAGUUCAAUUACGCCAUUCAGCCAUUGUUAGCUGCAUGUUUCCUUUUUUUACUAGAAUGGACAAGUAGUCAUAUGGAUAUAACGAUCAACAUCUCUCAACUUAAUAGUGCUCAGUCAUGCAUUUGUAUCCAUUUAGUUACUAAAAUUAUAUGAAAAAUCUAGCAUAUAGAAAUAAGGUCAUAUUAGUCAUUCCUGUUCCUACAUAGUAGGAUUGAGGCCCAUUUAUUGAUUUUUGGGGCUUAAAAGUAGCAAAAUACCUUUUAUUUUUUAAGCCAUAUCAUUUUUCCCACUUUUCCUUUUAAACCCACUUUGGGAAAAUUAAGCAUUGCAUAUCCUUGUAGCGAACAACUCCAAAAAGCUAGAAGAUGAUGUUGGAUGUUGUUGUAUAAAUUAAAGUCAAAGCUUAAAACGUAUAUAGGACAAGAGAGAGGAUUCUUUUUGUACCUGUAGGAGAAAGAAAGUGGUAAUAGUUAUAGAGCUUGGAACACUAGGGAAGGUGUGAGAGUAGCCUUUAGUUUAUGCAUACAAAAAAUCCAUGUUGACUUUUAACUAGUGGUUAUGUUAGAAAAGUCAUUUCUCUAAGAAAGACAUAGAUGGGUUAAAACUCAGAUGCAAGAGGCAAAGAGACAUUAAUUUUGAUAAGGUGUGCCCAGAUAAAUAUAUCUUGUUUAUUAUAUUUUUAUUAUCAGUUGUGGUGUCUUUAUAAUUCACAAAUUAAUUUCGAGAGUUUGGCUGUAAGUCUCUGCUUGAUAUGUAGGAUGAAAAGGAGCGAGGAUGGAAAAUUUGUUAAUUUAAUGGUUAAGCUUCAAAGUAAGAAAGUGGUUUUGAAUCUUAACCAUUUGGUUAACAAAUUUUCUAUCACCACUCACUUCUAUCAUUGAUAAUUGUUAAAUUCUAUACUGAAGAAAUCUUCUAUUAAAUCAAGAGAAAGAAUACAUCAAGAAUAGUUUUUGAGAUGAACUUCUGCCACCAUAUAUAGGCAACAUGAAGCCGAUAACUGCUCAUAACAACUAACAAUUAUUAGUAACUAACAGCAACUAACAAUUAGCCUUAAUAGAAUUCUAACAUAAGUCAAUUCCUGACUCAACCAUACUCUAACAUUCUCCCAGUUUCUUUGUUGUUUGAACAUUUGUGAACCUCAUUGAGUGUGAAGACUCGAAGUGCUUGACGAAAUGAUUCAAACUGCUUAGGUGUAAUUGGCUUGGUAAGAACAUCCGCAAUUUGAUCUGAUGAUGGGACAAAGCUUACCUGCAGAACUCAAGUAAGAAUCUUUUCCCGAAUAAAGUGAUGAUCAAUUUCUACAUGUUUCAUUCGUGCAUUAUGUGUGGGGUUUGCAGCUAUAGCUACUGUUGAUGUAUUGUCGCACCAGAUCACAGGUAUCGACUGUGACAAACCAAUCUCAUCUACCAGUUGUUUAACCCACAAAAGCUCUGACACAUAGUUGGCGAGACUUCGAUAUUAUGCUUUAGAGGAUGACCUGGACACAACAUUUUGUUUCUUUGAACACCAUGCAACAGGGUUUGGCUCGAGGUACACGACAUACCCUGUGGUGGAAUGUCGAUCUUCAACAGACGAGGCCCAGUCAGCAUCUGAAUACCCAACAACCUCAACAUUCCCUUUGGUGAAAAUCAAACCAUGGUCAAUAGUCUCAAUAAGAUAUCUUAGCACACGUUUGACUGCUCUCCAAUGAGUCUCACUUGGACAAUUCAUAUACUGGCUCAACUUGUUAACACAAAAGGAUAAUUCUGGUCGAGUGAUGCACAAAUACUGGAGCAUCCCUACUGUACUUCGAUAUAGAGGAACAUCAGUGAAAUGAGAACUACCAUCUGAGACAAUUAAUUUUGGAACACUUACCAUAGGUGUAGGAACAGUUAUAGCUCCUAUCAUACCAGUCUUAGUAAGAAUUUCUAAUAUGUAUUUUUUCUGACUGAGCAACACCCCUUGCGCCAUAUGUUGUACUUCAAUACCUAAAAAAAAAAUCUAGUUGCC